rnacentral:rRNA from 1 species
GUUAUAGGGACAAGCGAAUAAGUGCACAUGGUGGAUGCCUUGGCGAUUACAGGCGAUGAAGGACGUAGUAGCUUGCGAUAAGCUGCGGGGAGUGAGCAAACACACUUUGAUCCGCAGAUUUCCGAAUGGGGCAACCCACCCUUUUAGGGUAUUGCAUACUGAAUACAUAGGUAUGCAAGGCGAACGCGGCGAACUGAAACAUCUAAGUAGCUGCAGGAAAAGAAAUCAACCGAGAUUCCCAAAGUAGCGGCGAGCGAAAUGGGAAGAGCCUGUACGUGAUAGUCGGACCGAUAACAGAAUCCUCUGGAAAUAGGAGCCAUAG